rnacentral:rRNA from 1 species
AGAGUUUGAUCCUGGCUCAGGACGAACGCUGGCGGCGUGCUUAACACAUGCAAGUCGAACGGUGAAGCCCUUCGGGGUGGAUCAGUGGCGAACGGGUGAGUAACACGUGGGCAAUCUGCCUGCACUCUGGGACAACACCGGGAAACCGGUGCUAAUACCGGAUACGACGUACCUCGGCAUCGAGUGUGCGUGGAAAGCUC